rnacentral:rRNA from 1 species
UGGGGAAUUUUGCACAAUGGGGGAAACCCUGAUGCAGCGACGCCUCGUGAUUUAGAAGGCCUUCGGGUUGUAAAAAUCUUUUUUACGGGAUGAAAAUGACAGUACCGUAAGAAUAAGGUCAGGCUAAAUACGUGCCAUCAGCCGCGGUAAUAUGUAUGGACCGAGCGUUGUCCGGAAUCAUUGGGCGUAAAGGGUACGUAGGCGGCCUAAUAAGUUAGAAGUGAAAGAAUAUAGCUCAACUAUAUAAAGCUUUUAAAACUGUUAGUCUUGAGAGCUGAAAGGGGCAGUGGAAUUCCUAGUGUAGCGGUGAAAUUCGCAGAUAUUAGGAAGAAUACCGGUGGCGAAGGCGACUUUCUGGUCAUCAACUGACGCUGAGGUACGAAAGCGUGGGUAGCAAACAGG